CACUGCUACUGUAGAACUCAUUGCCUAUACAUUUCACAUUAGGCAUUCCACUCAUCUCUAGAAUCUCAAGGCGAGAAAAACAUCCAAGUAUUGGGAGUUGUCUGCAGUUGCUGCAAUCUUUCAAUCUCAGACCAUCAGAUUAUUGAGCUGCAACAUAGACAUCCAUGAUGGGAACUUUUCACCACAGUAACCCUCAAUUGUUAAGCUUCUUAUGUCUGGGUGAGGCUGUAGAGCAUCCAGCACAUCCUCGAUGUUAACACUGCUGUUACCUUCAUCACUCCAUUUAAACACCAAUUUG
rnacentral:lncRNA from 1 species